UUGACAAGUGUAUCAGCAAGUCGAUCGUCACCGGUUUUCAGUGGGAUUUGAUUUUUGUUUCUGACACGCUGCCACACUGUUGUCAAAUUCAAGGU